UAGUGGCAGACGGGUGAGUAACGCGUGGGAAGCUACCUUGUGGUAGGGGACAACAGUUGGAAACGACUGCUAAUACCCUAUGAGCCCUAUGGGGGAAAGAUUUAUCGCCAUGAGAUGUGCCCGCGUUAGAUUAGCUAGUUGGUAAGGUAAUGGCUUACCAAGGCGACGAUCUAUAGCUGGUCUGAGAGGAUGAUCAGCCACACUGGGACUGAGACACGGCCCAGACUCCUACGGGAGGCAGCAGUGGGGAAUAUUGGACAAUGGGGGCAACCCUGAUCCAGCCAUGCCGCGUGUGUGAUGACGGCCUUAGGGUUGUAAAGCACUUUCAGCAGUGAAGAUAAUGACAUUAACUGCAGAAGAAGCCCCGGCUAACUUCGUGCCAGCAGCCGCGGUAAUACGAAGGGGGCUAGCGUUGUUCGGAAUCACUGGGCGUAAAGAGUACGUAGGCGGACUGAUAAGUUAGGGGUGAAAUCCCAAGGCUCAACCUUGGAACUGCCUUUGAUACUGUCAGUCUUGAGAUCGAGAGAGGUGAGUGGAACUCCGAGUGUAGAGGUGAAAUUCGUAGAUAUUCGGAAGAACACCAGUGGCGAAGGCGGCUCACUGGCUCGAUACUGACGCUGA
rnacentral:rRNA from 1 species